UUUUCUUAUAAAACAAUAUUUUUAGAGUUAUACAUAAAUAAUCUUUGCAGCGUAAAAGCAAAAUAAAUUCAUACAUACUGUAAUACAGUAAGCCAGAGUAUUUAAUUUAAUUUACAAUAACCAGUAGGCUCCCGAAUAACUAAAAGUAAAGAGGACUGUGAACCUACAGUUUGGAGGAUGCAAAUCCAAUAGUAGCCUUGAUGAAAUCAGCUAUCUACAGCCUAUUCUGAGCUUGAAAUGGAUGGAAAGGAGGGUGGUAAAAUUAUAUAAUCCCAGUGAGUAAACAAACAUCAUUCAAAAUAUCUAAAGUCGAGUAAAAAGAUAUGAUUAAAAUAUUUCAUCUAAAUAUGUAUUUCAUAACAUAAAUAUUCAUUUCAUUUAAAUAGUCAACAUGGCUUAUGAGUAUCUUAAAAGCUUGGCUCCUGCCAAAAUCAUUCUCGGGAAUACCUUGGCCGAGGUAUUUAACCGAGUCUACCAAGGUUGUUAAAAAGUUCGUAUACACAUAAACAUAUUUUUAGUUUGAAAAACAUAGUCGUUCCUUGGCGUUAGCGGAGUUCAUUAUCACGAGGUGGUUCGGUGUGACAUGAACUCUAACCAUACCUCAAGAGAUACCCUACGCGCCUCUUCGACUAAGGUACAUAUAUAACCAGAUUUCGUGCCCCUCUAAUAGGCUGGUCCACAGAACCCGCCCACUGCAGCAAGCUAAACCCACUAUAUAAAAAAAUUUUGACAGCAUGACAUGGCUAAUAUAAUACUAUCCAGCCUGUAAAUGUAAAAUAGAGCAAUUCAUACAGUUCACAAAAACACAACCCAACCAGUCAUGCCAACACAUUAACAUAAGCCAUCAAUUCAAAUAAUAAAUUUACAACACCUCAAGUGGUCUCCAGUUACUCUACUUUCAAAGUCAUCAUUCAAUUUCAAGACAAUUUAUAAAAUCAUUUUAUUUAAACACAUUUUGUUUGUAAAACCUAGAAAUUAACCAUUUAAACUCAUAUUCCAUAAAAUUCACAAAAAUCGAAUAAAAAGACCACUUUAGAUAAUUAAAAUGAUGAUAAGGUUACUCAUUAUUUCGAGAGUCAAAUUUUUAAAGUACUUUGACUAUCGAUCCUCGGGUACAAUUUCUUUGCCCUUAGCAGAGGAUUCACCACCUAGACAUGAUGCAAAAUCAAGUAAUUUACCACAUUGGUGCUAAACCGUUAUAAAACUAUAUGGAUGCAUGAAAUGGAAUGCAAAUUGUUCGAAUUAUCGUCUAAACACGGUGUUCGCCUAAUUCGAUCUAUCACUUAAUUAAUUGGCCAAUUCAACUCUAAUUAACUGUAUUUUUCUUUCAAUUCUCCAAACCAUCAAUCACAAAUUCAAUAGCAUAAAAUUUAGCAACAUCACCUUCACAUUUUUCCUUGGGAAUUUCGGCCAUGAUGGGUGCAUCAAUACUAUAAUUUUUUCUACUUGAUUUUCUCACUGAAAUUCAUCAUUUCCUAACCAAAUCACUUGAAAUAACAAUCAAAAUCAUCAUCGAUAUUCCACAUGGAGAAUUCGGCCAAUGAUGGGUAAUGAGAGAAAAAAAAAUUUUCUUGUUGGUUUUUCAUGCUACACAUCAUUAACUAACUAAAAACACUAAAAUACAUUGAAAUCUAACCAAAUCAAGCAUAAAACUCCUCCCCCCAUGUCCGGCCAGCAAGGGAUUCAUCAUGAUUUCAUAUGAUUCAACCAUGGAAAAUCAAAAAGAAUGCAUGGGAAAGGUAGAUCUCAAGCUUUAUUGAAAAAAUCUUACAUUUUUCACUUGUUUCCUUGAAUUUUCACACUUUUCCUUUGAAUUUUUCCACCUAGGGUUCUUGUUCUUUCUUUUCUUCCUUUUUUCUUCUUUGGCCAGCCAUAU
rnacentral:lncRNA from 1 species